ACGACGUUAGGGGAAACAACUACAGUUCCCAUACUGCAAUGCAAACAAAAGUUAAGAGUUUCACUUCCGCUUUUGCUGCUACUAGUGUUUCCGGCGUCUGGCGACAGUUACCAACCGUUACCAACUAAUAACUGCUCGGGUCUGCUGCUGAAGACGGACUGAGGACGAUGAUUGAUAUCAAAGCGUGGGCAGAAUAUGUGGUGGAGUGGGCAGCCAAAGAUCCCUAUGGCUUUCUCACCACGGUUAUCCUGGCUUUGACUCCUCUGUUUAUCGCCAGUGCCCUGUUAUCAUGGAAACUCGCCAAGAUGAUCGAGGCCAAGGAGCGUGAGCAGAAAAAGAAACAAAAACGACAAGAGAACAUUGCCAAAGCCAAGAGAGCCAAGAAGGAUUGAGCUUGGGACAGAGAGGGGUCAACAUAUAGUCCAAUCCCCUGAUGUAUGGCUCCUCUCCUAACCACGGACAGUUCUUAUGGGACCUGGAGCAAGACUGGGUCUGGAGGCCUUAGUAAACCCUUAGAGGGAACAUAUAAGGGGAGGGUUGAUUGCUUGAUCUCAAUAGCAGGACUGCAGUACUUUUCCAGGAUAUUAUCAAUACAGUGGAAAAUGCACUGUAUUAUUGUGCUAUCAACUACUGUGCAGUACUCUGCAUUCCAUUUUUUACUGGGUUGAUUGUUUUUUCCCCAAGUUGAAUCCACAAAACACUUAAAUUGCUUUUUUAAUAAUAAAGAAAAUUCUUAACAUGAA